UUUUCAACUCUCAUUGUUCUCCAAAGACUCGUCUGACUUAUCAAGUAACCCUUGUGGCGUCAACCCGUCUUUCUAUCUGAACUUAUCACUUUAAUCCCAAAAGUGUGGCGUUCGAUUCGUACUGAGGUUCCUAUCAUUUUUGAUAGCGGGUCAAAGUUUCUAUCCACUUAACAAACCUUCCAUCAACACCCUACCAACCUAAGCAUUCUCCUAAGUUACGGGUUAACACACUCCUAUUGUGUUAGUUCGGCUUUUGAAUACUUAGCCCAAACUUCAUCCAUUGAUUUAUGUUUCAUUUCCUAAACCAACAAAACUUUAUUGAGCCUAAAUAAUUCCUUUUCUUCUAGCCUAUUUUGUAAAGCUUUCAAAUUACUCCAAUUCACGAUCGGGCACAACAACGACUCAGAUUCAUUAACCGGGCCGGAUCGUAUCAUUUGGUAUCAGAGCUAGCUGAAUCGGAGUAAGAUCGAC
rnacentral:lncRNA from 1 species